GGUGAAACCUAAGUGAAAUCUUUUUCAGCUAAUGCCAUCAUUCCUCUUGUUAGAGAUGCAGAUGGCUGAAACUUUGAGUGCACAAGACACUAAUCAACAGAGCAAUCAGCAGAGGAGACUCUUCCCAACUGAAGGGAAUGAAUUCCCAUCAACAAUCAAGACACAUAAACUGCCAUCAGCAGAGUAAAACCGGCCAAAAAAUGAAAACCUUGGCAGCAGGCAGAGGUGCAGGCAGUCGAGAAGUACAUUCAUCACUUCUUGUAUUGUGCCAGCACAGAGUGACUGUGAGAAAUGUUUAAGAGCUGAACCAGUAGCUCUCAAGAA